CCUACGGGUGGCAGCAGUGAGGAAUAUUGGUCAAUGGACUAGCGUCUGAACCAGCCAAGUCGCGUGAAGGAUGACUGCCCUAUGGGUUGUAAACUUCUUUUGUAUGGGAAUAAAACGUUCCACGUGUGGGCUUUUGUAUGUACCAUAUGAAUAAGGAUCGGCUAACUCCGUGCCCGCAGCCGCGGUCAUACGGAGGAUCCGAGCGUUAUUCGGAUUUAUUUGGUUUAAAGGGAGCGUAGGUGGGGUGUCAAGUCCGUUGGGAAAGUUUGCGGCUUAAACGUAAAAUUGCAGUUGAAACUGGCAGUCUUGAGUACAGGAGAGGUGGGCGGAAUGCGUGGUGUAGCGGUGAAAUGCUUAGAUAUCACGAAGAACUCCGAUUGCGAAGGCAGUUCACUGGACUGCAACUGACACUGAGGCUCGAAAGUGUGGGUAUCGAACAGGAUUAGAUACCCUAGUAGUC
rnacentral:rRNA from 1 species